AAAGGAUGUGGCGUUGCCCAGACAACUAGGAUGUUGGCUUAGAAGCAGCCAUCAUUUAAAGAGUGCGUAAUAGCUCACUAGUCGAGUGACACUGCGCCGAAAAUGUACCGGGGCUAAACAUAUUACCGAAGCUGUGGAUUGUCCUUUGGACAAUGGUAGGAGAGCGUUCUAAGGGCGUUGAAGCAUGAUCGUAAGGAUAUGUGGAGCGCUUAGAAGUGAGAAUGCCGGUGUGAGUAGCGAAAGACGGGUGAGAAUCCCGUCCACCGAUUGACUAAGGUUUCCAGAGGAAGGCUCGUCCGCUCUGGGUUAGUCGGGUCCUAAGCUGAGGCCGACAGGCGUAGGCGAUGGAUAACAGGUUGAUAUUCCUGUACCACCUAUAAUCGUUUUAAUCGAUGGGGGGACGCAGUAGGAUAGGCGAAGCGUGCGAUUGGAUUGCACGUCUAAGCAGUAAGGCUGAGUAUUAGGCAAAUCCGGUACUCGUUAAGGCUGAGCUGUGAUGGGGAGAAGACAUUGUGUCUUCGAGUCGUUGAUUUCACACUGCCGAGAAAAGCCUCUAGAUAGAAAAUAGGUGCCCGUACCGCAAACCGACACAGGUAGUCAAGAUGAGAAUUCUAAGGUGAGCGAGCGAACUCUCGUUAAGGAACUCGGCAAAAUGACCCCGUAACUUCGGGAGAAGGGGUGCUCUUUAGGGUUAACGCCCAGAAGAGCCGCAGUGAAUAGGCCCAAGCGACUGUUUAUCAAAAACACAGGUCUCUGCUAAACCGUAAGGUGAUGUAUAGGGGCUGACGCCUGCCCGGUGCUGGAAGGUUAAGAGGAGUGGUUAGCUUCUGCGAAGCUACGAAUCGAAGCCCCAGUAAACGGCGGCCGUAACUAUAACGGUCCUAAGGUAGCGAAAUUCCUUGUCGGGUAAGUUCCGACCCGCACGAAAGGCGUAACGAUUUGGGCACUGUCUCAACGAGAGACUCGGUGAAAUCAUAGUACCUGUGAAGAUGCAGGUUACCCGCGACAGGACGGAAAGACCCCGUGGAGCUUUACUGUAGCCUGAUAUUGAAAUUCGGCACAGCUUGUACAGGAUAGGUAGGAGCCUUUGAAACGUGAGCGCUAGCUUACGUGGAGGCGCUGGUGGGAUACUACCCUAGCUGUGUUGGCUUUCUAACCCGCACCACUUAUCGUGGUGGGAGACAGUGUCAGGCGGGCAGUUUGACUGGGGCGGUCGCCUCCUAAAAGGUAACGGAGGCGCUCAAAGGUUCCCUCAGAAUGGUUGGAAAUCAUUCAUAGAGUGUAAAGGCAUAAGGGAGCUUGACUGCGAGACCUACAAGUCGAGCAGGGUCGAAAGACGGACUUAGUGAUCCGGUGGUUCCGCAUGGAAGGGCCAUCGCUCAACGGAUAAAAGCUACCCCGGGGAUAACAGGCUUAUCUCCCCCAAGAGUUCACAUCGACGGGGAGGUUUGGCACCUCGAUGUCGGCUCAUCGCAUCCUGGGGCUGUAGUCGGUCCCAAGGGUUGGGCUGUUCGCCCAUUAAAGCGGUACGCGAGCUGGGUUCAGAACGUCGUGAGACAGUUCGGUCCCUAUCCGUCGUGGGCGUAGGAAAUUUGAGAGGAGCU
rnacentral:rRNA from 1 species